GGUAGCGUGGCCGAGCGGUCUAAGACGCUGGAUUUAGGCUCCAGUCUCUUUGGAGGCGUGGGAAGACGCUGGAUUUAGGCUCCAGUCUCUUUGGAGGCAUGGGUUCAAAUCACACCGCUGCCA